rnacentral:rRNA from 1 species
CUACGGGUUGCUCCAGUGAGGAAUAUUGCACAAUGGGGGGAACCCUGAUGCAGCAUCGCCGCGUGGAGGAUGACGCAUUUCGGUGUGUAAACUCCUUUUAUAUGUCAAGAAAAUGACGGUAGCAUAUGAAUAAGCACCGGCUAACUCCGUGCCAGCAGCCGCGGUAAUACGGAGGGUGCAAGCGUUACUCGGAAUCACUGGGCGUAAAGGACGCGUAGGCGGGUUGGAAAGUCAGGUGCGAAAUCCUACAGCUUAACUGUAGAACUGCACUUGAAACUUCUAAUCUAGAGUAUGGGAGGGGGAGAUGGAAUUAGUGGUGUAGGGGUAAAAUCCGUAGAUAUCACUAGGAAUACCUAAAGCGAAGGCGAUCUCCUGGAACAUUACUGACGCUAAGGCGUGAAAGCGUGGGGAGCAAACAGGAUUAGAUACCCCUGUAGUC